GGUAAGUUGUGAUUGUUCAUUUGAAGUUUACUCAAGUGGAAGAAUGUAACUAAUAAACUUAGAACUACUAGCACUAUGCAUUAUAUUUUGAAAAAGUAGAUUAUCUUAAUAUCAAAACCUUUCAAUUUUCUCUGGACUCAAUGAUAAAUACGUUUGACCGCUGGAAUGAACCAAAAAAACUAGAAAAUCGCAUUCAUGAGGAUUUAUGGUGAUUUUAUUUCCCGUUGGACCUUUGUCUACAUUGAUGCUGAUGCACUAAAGAAGAGGGGCUCCCCUGUACCAAGAUGGCGGCUCUAUUGACGCAUUCGUUCCAAUGAACUGCCGUAGCCAAGGCGACAUCUAGGCAUCUCGCUCUAGGUUCCGGGAGAUUUUAACUAAUUUGAUGGCAUCAGGGAGCCGCAUCAAUAAAAACCAUUGGGUUUUUUAAAAACGAGUUGGGUUUCAUUUCUCUGGCUGUUUCCGUGUUUCUUACUGUAGAUCACCUGCCAGUCAUUUUAUCUAUCUAAAGGAAGGAAAAUCGGACGAUUGUCAUUUUCAGUUGUGUUCUCAUCCAUACUCCGAAUCACACAACCCAUUUAUAAAUAAGUCACAGACUAAGGAUAUCAUAAGUCUAAAACUCUGCCGAAAUUAUUAGAAGACCUGGAUGACGGUGCCAAACAUUGCCAAAUGUUAAUGAAGGAUGAGGACAGAUGACAGAUUGUCUGAUCUAGCAGCAUGUAGUUUCUCAGUGACGGUCAAAAGGGAAGUCUCUGUGGAGUACAUGGCUUUGUAUCUGGUUGGUUCUGUGUGAGAUGGAUAGAUUAUGGGACAGACGUCUAAACAAACACAUACAUUGAUGGAUUUAUCUGAUGCUGUCCCAGAAUUAAUUAUGAAUGUAGGAUACUGGCAGUGAACAGCUUAUUUGCUGUAAUUUGCAUGAUGAGAGAAAUUUCCCCUCAAAUAUUUAUUGCAAUCAUAGCCAUUUUGAGCAAAUGUUUACUGACAACUAGUAUAGUACAGUCUGCAUUGCAGGUGAUCCCACCCAUCACACAGCCUCUUCAGUCUGCUGCCAUCAGGGAGGAGACAGCGGAGUCUCCUGGCCAGGACCAACAGAUUGAAGGACCGCUUCAUUCAUCAGGCUGUCAGGAAGCUGAACUCGCUCCCGAACUUGCCCCCACCUUCCCUUUUCUGCCCCAGGCACCACAGAUCUUUGAACCCACAUCACCCCUCCAGAUCCCACAUCCCCAGGUCCUUCCACUCCCCCCUCCCACUAACAUACGAUGACAUGCACCAGUCACUUUGUGCAGCAUUGGUCUGCUCAUUUGCACUUUAUGCCUUGUGCUGCUUUAUUUAAUUUCUAUUGUUAGUAUUAUCUGUAUGCACCUUGGGACUGAUAGUAAUGCAAUUUCAAAUUCUGUGUGUACUGUACAUGUGGAGGAUUUGACAAUAAAGCAGAACUUGAAAACAGAGAUCUACAUCAACAGAUUCAUUGAGCACUUUCCCAGAAUUCCUAUUGAACAUAGGAUAAUGCCACUUAAAAGCUUACAUGCUGUCAUUUGCAUGAUGGGAGAAAUUUCUCCUCAAAUAUUUAACACGAUCAAAUGUUCAUAAUUGAUCAAAUGUUUAGUGCCAACUAGUACAGUGCAGGGAAAUGUGUUCAACCACCUAAUACUAAGUAUUCUUUAUGAGACUAUGGACAAGUCCUCAAAGCAAAAGCCUGCUGCUGAAAGUCUUGACUCUGAUGUGCUUGAAAAGUUAUGCGAUGCACUUAUGCCUUUCACCAAUCCUAACUAUUCAACUGAGGUCAGCAGACUUACUUACUGUUUAUUUGCUGACCUACACAAGUUUGUCCCAGAGCACAUUAACACAUGUGGAGUAACCUCAGUGCCUGAAAUAGUUCUUCAUGCUGUAGAUAUAGGACCAGAUGAUGCAAUUAAAGAAAAACUCCACAAACUGGACACAAAUCUCAGAAAUCCCCAAAUCUCAAGCACUGUAGAUUGCUUGGGUGAAGCAGCAGACAGCAUGCCAUCGAAGAAGAAAAAAAAAGAAAGACAAUCAACAAGACAUUAUCUCAAAAGAAGAUUCUGAUACUGCAAAAACAUCAGUUCAGGAGUCCAGUGUGCAUCCAUAUGCAACUUUGUAAAUACACAAAACAACUUCAACUUUGUGAAUACACACUGAAGGAAUACAUUGAAGACCAUUUGCCAGAAGACACUUCUCACAUCCUGAAGAAAAUUGUAAAAGAAGUUCUUUAUAGCUUAAAUGCUCUUCACGGCCAUGACACCAAAGUGCUUCACCGUAGGAAUCCUAGUAGGAAUCCUAUUAACAGUCUUGUCUGUAAUCAUUGACAUAAUUAAAAACACAUUCAACACUGGAAAAUUCUUAAAUUGGCCUUCUGAUGUUAUUAAUUUUUAACAGAUAUAACCGGAAAGGCAAGACUAGCUGAUUUCGGCAUAAGUCGAAGACUGAAGUUGGGGGAGACGACUUGCCGCACUAAUCUUGCUGGAAAGUACUGGAAAGCCAGAGAGACGCUUGAAGAGGACAUUAACAGUGGCUACAAGAGGAGUUCUGACAUUCAGCCAACUCCACAGCUGCAUCAACCCUUUUGGCUGUGAUGCUUGAAGUGUCAGACUGCUUACUGAUGCUAGACUGAGAGGCAGUACCUUAGAUGGAGCGGGCGUACUGUUGUGACGGUAGCUGAUGAAGACGCUGCCUUUCUCUAUCUUCAUCAAAAUCACUGUCUAUUGCUGUUAUACGUUCAUUAAGUAUUUUCAUAAUGUCCUUAGUUACUGCUUCACAAGAGUCCAUUUUGCGUCUUGUGUCAGGGGAUGGCAUAAUAUGCUCCCUUAUUUCAUUGUACACCUUCAUCCUGUUGUUCAAACCAUUUUCAAUGUGAUUGGCCAUUGCACACAACUUGUGCUCUGAUAAGUCAGUCUUUAGGCUUUCUCUGGAUGUUCUGAUUAGCCCUUUCCAUUGUUCAUAGAGACUUAUCAGUUUUUUUGUGCUUUUUAAUCAAUUCGUUUUCAAUUUUUUGUGAACUUUAAUCCAACCAGAUAUAUCACCAGUGUAAGAACUUUUGCCUCUUCUGAGGGGCUGCAAGUAUAUAUAAGAUAUUAACCAUAUUUGGAAUAUCAUGUUGUACUAUAUAAACUGCGCUAGCCAGAGUGCACGCGCGCCUCAUAAAACAAAAAAAAGGGGUGUAGCUUAAGACCGUAAGUCAACUAUGGCAAUACAAUGGUUUCAAAAUAAGAC